CUACGGGACGCAGCAGUGAGGAAUUUUGCGCAAUGGGCGAAAGCCUGACGCAGCAACGCCGCGUGACCGAUGAAGUUCUUAGGAGUGUAAAGGUCUGUCGUGAGGGAAGAAUAAUUUCGAUAUUAAUAGUAUCGGGAUCUGACGGUACCUCACAGGAAAGCACCGGCUAACUUCGUGCCAGCAGCCGCGGUAAUACGAGGGGUGCUAGCGUUGUCCGGAAUCAUUGGGCGUAAAGGGCAUGUAGGCUUUUUGGUAAGUCUUUUGUUAAAUCCCACUGCUUAACAGAGGAUCUGCAGAAGAAACUGCCGAAAUUGAGUUUGGAAGAGGAAAGCGGAAUUCCUGGUGUAGCGGUGACAUGCGUAGAUAUCAGGAGGAACACCAAAGGCGAAGGCAGCUUUCUGGUCCAAUACUGACGCUGAAAUGCGAAAGCGUGGGGAGCAAACAGGAUUAGAUACCCUUGUAGUC
rnacentral:rRNA from 1 species